rnacentral:rRNA from 1 species
GGAGGAGGCAAGCGUUGUCCGGAAUCAUUGGGCGUAAAGAGCGCGUAGGCUGUUUUUCAAGUCAUAUGUGAAAACCUCAGGCUUAACUUGAGGACUGCAUAUGAAACUGAAAAACUUGAGUGCAGUAGGGGAAAGUGGAAUUCCUGGUGUAGCGGUGAAAUGCGCAGAUAUCAGGAAGAACACCGGUAGCGAAGGCGGCUUUCUGGGCUGCUACUGACGCUGAGGCGCGAAAGCUAGGGGGGAGCAAACAGGAUUAGAUACCCUGGUAGUCCUAGCAGUAAACGAUGGACACUAGGUGUGGGGAGUUAUCGACGCUUUCCGUGCCGGAGCUAACGCAUUAAGUGUCCCCGCCUGGGAGUACGGUCGCAAGCUA